rnacentral:rRNA from 1 species
GCGAUUCGCCCUUGGGUGCAGCAGGCGCGAAAACUUUACAAUGCGAGAAAUCGUGAUAAGGGAACCCCGAGUGCCCGUAAAUUCGGGCUGUUAAUCUGUGUAAAAAGCAGGUGGAGAAAGGGCCGGGCAAGACCGGUGCCAGCCGCCGCGGUAAUACCGGCGGCUCGAGUGGUGGCCACUAUUACUGGGCUUAAAGCGUCCGUAGCUGGAUUGUUAAGUCUCUUGGGAAAUCUACCGGCUUAACCGAUAGGCGUUCAAGGGAUACUGGCAAUCUAGGGACCGGAAGAGGUGAGAGGUACUCCAGGGGUAGGAGUGAAAUCCUGUAAUCCUUGGGGGACCACCUGUGGCGAAGGCGUCUCACCAGAACGGCUCCAACAGUGAGGGACGAAAGCUGGGGGAGCAAACCGGAUUAGAUACCCGGGUAGUCCCAGCUGUAAACGAUGUGCGUUAGGUGUAUCGGUGACCACGAGUCACCGAGGUGCCGAAGAGAAAUCGUGAAACGUACCGCUUGGGAAGUACGGUCGCAAGGCUGAAACUUAAAGGAAUUGGCGGGGGAGCAC